GCCGAUGUAGCUCAACGGUAGAGCAACUGAUUUGUAAUCAGUAGGUUGCGAGUUCGAUUCUCGCCAUCGGCU
rnacentral:tRNA from 1 species